rnacentral:rRNA from 1 species
CCUACGGGAGGCAGCAGUGGGGAAUAUUGGACAAUGGGGGCAACCCUGAUCCAGCCAUGCCGCGUGUGUGAAGAAGGCUUUCGGGUUGUAAAGCACUUUCAGCGAGGAGGAAAACCUUUGGGUUAAUAACCCUGAGGCUUGACGUUACUCGCAGAAGAAGCACCGGCUAACUCCGUGCCAGCAGCCGCGGUAAU